AUGAGCAUCUUUGAUCUUUUCCAAGGCUUUUUCGGCUUUCCUGGACCUCUCAGCCACAGAGAUCCUUUUUUUGGAGGAAUGACUCAAGAUGAUGACAACAAUGACGACGACGACGACGACGACGACGACAACGAAGUGGAGGAAGACAGAGGCGUGUGGGGUCAAGAGAGCUAUGUGUUUGAUGAUUCUCAGCCUCCAGAGGAAUUCGGUUUCAGCUUCAGCCCCAGAGGAGGGAUGCGAUUCCACAGCAACUUUGGCUUUGAUGAUCUAGAUGAUACAUGGCCUGUGAGUCCCCAUUCUAGAGCCAAAAGAGGACAAAGAUCUUGACUCCCAAGUUUCCCAGGAAGGUUUGAGUCCACUUCUUCAACCCCAGCCCAAAUCGUAUUUCAAAAGCAUCUCUGUGACCAAGAUCACUAAGUCAGAUGGGACAGUGGAGGAACAUCGUGCUGUGGUAGUCAGUGAGGGCUGGAGGGAGACCACAGUGACCCAUCAAGAAACCUGUGACAGUUCCAGAAGUGAUCAAGACUCUCAGAGACCUUCAACUUUGUAUGAUCCCUUUUCCAUUCUGGAUUUGCUCUUAGGACGUUGGUUUCGGUCCCGAUAGCGUUCUUAAACUUCAGAAGCCUUCAGGUCCUUCCCACUCCCUUCCUGUUGCCCAUUGCCAAUAAGCUUAGCUUUGUCUGUCAUCCCAGGGUCUUAAAUGCGUGAAACAAUUAAUUGAGCUUAUGCCAGUCUGUCAUUCAUCCAAACUGACCAAUAAAGCCUUUAUUUAUGCUAAAAAAA